rnacentral:rRNA from 1 species
UUGACCUCAGAUCAGGUAGGAAUACCCGCUGAACUUAAGCUUUAUGGGGG